GCCCUUAUAGCUCAGUUGGUAGAGCAGACGCCUCUUAAGCGUAAGGUCGCAGGUUCGAGUCCUGCUGGGGGCACCA
rnacentral:tRNA from 1 species